rnacentral:lncRNA from 1 species
UCUUCUUCCAAGCGGGAUCUCAGGCAAGAUGACCAUUUCCCCAGAUAUCAUUACUAUCAUUGCCAUGCUAGUUUUAUCGCUUCUAUCGAUUAUGUCUCGUUGCCUAACACAUGUUAAAUAUCAGCUUCUCAACAAUGCCAUGAUUACCUUCAACCUGUUCGACCUAGCAAACCACUGAUUGGCUAUGUUACCGUUUGCUUAACCCUGUUGUUAGCGUUGCUAGUUGCAGGUGCAGAUGCUUCCAUGUGAAAACAUGGGUUCUUUAUUAUAUCACCAUAUUAAAUGCUAUUUAAUUUAAUGCACCCAUAUACUUGGUAAAAGGUGGAAGGCUCGGCCUUCCUAGCCUGGUGUUUUGUUCCACCUUUGCCCCCUUAGUUACGGCUACCGGUGUUAUGUUCCAUAAACGAGCGCUCCUAACACGAUCGGGGUUGUUAUGGGGACCCCCUUCAUAAUUCGUUUUAGAUUAAAGCUGGUCUGGCAAGGCCCAACAUUGGUACUACAUUUGCCCAACAUAAUAACUUGUUAAUACUGAAAGCAUAGGGCGUCAUGAACCCGAGGAGUAAUUUCACAUAAUACAGGGAGGGCCAGUGCUGAUGGCGCUGGUCCAAAACAGAGCAUCGUGCGGGGCCAACCCGGGGCAACUCGGGUGAUGUCUAUCAGCCCACCGUACGCUUCGCUUAUCCGCCGUGUCCUGAGAACGAGAUACGCGACUCCUAUCGGGAUCGUCGACACGCCGGGCGCCCUUGCUGGAUUAGUUUUACCUUUGACGAGAUAUCUUGUGCAUCGGGAUGCCGGUGAUGCUUUGGGUAAUCUCAGAGUUGAGGUUUUUCACUAGGGAAUCCGACGAGAUCGCGAGCUUCGUGAUUGAGGAUUUCUAUGCGGCUUGUGGUAACUUGUGAUGGACUAGUUGGAGCACCCCUGCAGGGUUAAAUAUUUCGGAAAGCCGUGCCCGCGGUUAUGUGGCAAUGUGGAAACUUUGUUUAACACUGGUUCUAGAUAACUUGAAGUUAACUUAAUUAAAAUAUGCCAACUGUGUGCGUAACCGUGACUGUCUCUUUCGUGAGUUCUUACUCCGAUCAAGGACACGGUGGGGUUAUGUCUGACGUAGGUAGGUGUUCAGGAUCAUUCAUUUGAUCAUCCGUAGUUCACGUCCGCUAUGCGUAGAUCUACCCCCUCUUAUUUCUUGUACUCGUAAGUUUAGCCACCAAAUAUAUGCUUAGCCGCUGCUGCAACCUCACCACUUAACCUUGCCUCACCCAUUAAGCUUUGCUACUCUUGAUACCUUUGGAAAUGAGAUUGCUGAGUCCCCUGUGGCUCACAGAUUACUACAACACCAGUUGCAGGUACAGGUAAAGGUUACUUGACGCGAGCGCGUUGAUUGUUCAUUUGGAGUUGCUUCUUCUUCUUCUUCUCCAUCGAUCUAGGAUGGGUUCCAGGCCGGCAGCCUGGGAUAGCAAGGAUGGACGUCGUUCUUCUUUUGUCGUUUGUUUUCGUCCGUAGUCGGACCCUGCUCUUA